AUUGAACGCUGGCGGCAGGCCUAACACAUGCAAGUCGAACGAGGGGCGGAGGGGUGAGAAAUGUCGGGGAAACUGCCUGAUGGAGGGGGAUAACUACGGGAAAGGGUAGCAAAUACCGCAUACCAUCGGAUGUGCACAGAUGGGAUUAGCUAGUAGGUGGGGUAAAGGCUCACCUAGGCGCCGAUCCCUAGCUGGUCUGAGAGGAUGACCAGCCACACUGGCACUGAGACACGGUCCAUACUCCUACGUGAGGCAGCAUUGGUGAAUAUUGCACAAUGGGCGCAAGCCUGAUGCAGCCAUGCCGCGUGUAUGAAGAAGGCCUUCGGGUUGUAAAGUACUUGCAGCGGGGAGGCGUUACCCGCAGAAGAAGCACCGGCUAACUCCGUGCCAGCAGCCGCGGUAAUAC
rnacentral:rRNA from 1 species